rnacentral:rRNA from 1 species
UACUCGAGUGGCGAAAGGGCGAGGAAUACAUGGGCAACGUGCCUUAUGCACGAGGAUAACUGCGGGAAGCUGCAGUUAAUACUCGAUAAGACCACAGCAUCUUCGGAUGCAGCGGUCAAAGGUGGGGACCUUCGGGCCUACCGGCAUUAGAGCGACCCAUGUCCUAUCAGCUUGUUGGUGAGGUAACGGCUCACCAAGGCGGCGACGGGUACCGGGACUGAGAGGUUGACCCGGCGCAUCGGGACUGAGACACUGCCCGGACUCCUACGGGAGGCUGCAGUAACGAAUAUUCCGCAAUGGGCGAAAGCCUGACGGAGCGACGCCGCGUGUGGGAGGAAGCCCUUCGGGGUGUAAACCACUGUCAGGGAUUACCAAGCAAAGUUGGCGAAUAGCCUUCUGCGUUGAGGCGUCCCAGAGGAAGCCACGGCUAACUUCGUGCCAGCAGCCGCGGUAAUACGAAGGUGGCGAGCGUUGUUCGGAAUCACUGGGCUUAAAGGGCACGCAGGCGGACUGUCAAGCGUCUUGUGAAAGCCCCCGGCUUAACCGGGGAAUUGCUGGGCGAACUGGCAGUCUUGAGGCAGGUAAGGGCGAGUGGAACUCUUGGUGGAGCGGUGGAAUGCGUAGAUAUCAAGAGGAACGCCGGAGGCGAAAGCGACUCGCUGGGCCUGACCUGACGCUGAGGUGCGAAAGCCAGGGGAGCGAACGGGAUUAGAUACCCCGGUAGUCCUGGCCAUAUACGAUGUCCACUAGAUCGGUGAACUUCUGACAGUGCGCCGGUCGAAACAAAAGCGUUAAGUGGACCGCCUGGGGAGUACGGUCGCAAGGCUAAAACUCAAAGGAAUUGACGGGGGCUCACACAAGCGGUGGAGCAUGUUGCUUAAUUCGAUGCAACGCGAAGAACCUUAUCCUGGGCUUGACAUGGUAGGAUGCCUCCCUGGAAACAGGGUUGGUUGCCCUUCGGGGUGAAACUAUCACAGGUGCUGCAUGGCUGUCGUCAGCUCGUGUCGUGAGAUGUUGGGUUAAGUCCCGUAACGAGCGAAACCCUUGUCGUUAGUUGCCAGCGCGUAAUGGCGGGGACUCUAGCGAGACUGCCGGUGUUAAACCGGAGGAAGGUGGGGAUGACGUCAAGUCCUCAUGGCCUUUAUGUCCAGGGCUGCAAACGUGCUACA